ensembl:lincRNA
AUGUCUGCUUUUGCCCUCGCCCUCGCAGGGAGAGGUUCGUUCCGGCCCAUCCAGUCUUCUCUGACCAAAGCAGCUCUGUCUCGGCCGAUCGUGCCCAAGGUCCUUCCACCCCAGGCCACGAGUCACCUGGCCAGUGCUAUCGACUUAGCAGCUACGAGUGCCGGCAUCCUCUCUGGGAACCCCCUCCCUGCCUUGGACACCGAGGGCUUGUCUGGCAUCUCUCCACUGUCUUCAGACGAGGUGACGGGUGCCAUCUCGGGGCAGGACUCCACUGGAACUCACCAGGAUGGAGACGCCCUCCCCGCUGUGGGGGGCUCGCCUGUUCUGUCCUUAUCUGAGCUGCCUAAGGCCCCUCUCCAGAAUGGCCUCUCCACGCCGCUGUCCUCGUCAGAGAGCUCCAGCACCCGGCUGUCUCCACCAGAUGUCUCUGCUCUGCUCGACAUCUCCCUGCCCGGCCCGCCUGAGGAUGCGCUGUCACAGGGCGAGCCUGCCACACACAUUAGCGACUCCAUCAUUGAGAUCGCCAUCAGCUCCGGUCAGUACGGUGAAGGGGUCCCCCUUUCUCCAGCGAAACUGAACGGCAGUGACAGUUCCAAGAGCCUUCCCUCCCCGUCCAGCAGCCCCCAACCACACUGGAUCGCCUCUCCCACCCACGACCCCCAGUGGUACCCCAGUGAUUCCACCGACUCCUCGCUCAGCAGCCUGUUUGGUGAGUGUAUGGGCAGGACUCCUGUCUCCUUUCCCAGAGCAGCAGGGGCUGGGGUCGGCGGGACGCUGGAUUCUCAUUCUACUCAAACUCCCACGAGGACUGUUGGCUUGUUCACUUCUCAAGUGUUUGUGUUUUUCUGAGUUAAUAUUUUUGGGUGUAAUUUACAUGUGGGUGUACACAUUUUUAGUGUACAGUUCACCAAGCUGUGGCAAGCAUGUACAGCCUGGUAACCCACAACCCAAUGGAGACCUAGAACGUUCUCGUGAGCCCAGAUGCUGGGUUCUAUGUGCCUUCCCAGUCUGUUCAGGUAGCCUGGCCGCUCCCCACUAGGGUUCUCUCGAGGGCAGAAAAGGAAAUGGUAUCUUGGCACUCUCUUGGCUCUUCUCUUAGCUGUUGUCAGUAAGGUAUUCAGAAGUGGAUGGUCCAGCUGCCACCUGGCGCAUUCUUGAAUACAGAUCGGAGAGUUCAGAGGACGUGUUCGUCGUCCUACCCCGCUGUCCGUCUGCCCACCGGGUAGCAAGUGUGGCCAGAAGGGGGUGUCAUAGGCAAAGACACACCUGCUGCUGUAGCCUGCCCAGAGAGAGCUCCGGUUAAGAUGUCUGGGGUCUUCGCGCCCACAGUUGUACGGGGCCAGGGCUUGUGGCUGGGCACAUCCGGCAUGAUGGGCACCAUGCCUGACAGCCCUGAACCGUUGGGCACUUUGGGUCUGGGAGGUGCUGGGAGGGACCCAGCACCCUGCAAGCGUUUCCUUUUGUCGCAUGUAGCAGUGCAGAUGUUUCGACAGUUACAUGUGAAUCAUGAGAAACUGGAAACAGGCCAGGCAUAGUGGCUCAUGUCUGUAAUCCCAGUACUUCGGGAGGCCAAAGUAGGAGG